GGGCCCGCACAAGCGGUGGAGUAUGUGGUUUAAUUCGAUGCAACGCGAAGAACCUUACCAGGGUUUGACAUCCUGCGAAUCUCUUGGAAACAGGAGAGUGCCUUCGGGAACGCAGUGACAGGUGGUGCAUGGCUGUCGUCAGCUCGUGUCGUGAGAUGUUGGGUUAAGUCCCGCAACGAGCGCAACCCACGUCUUUAGUUGCCAGCAUUUAGUUGGGCACUUUAAAAGAACUGCCAGUGAUAAGCUGGAGGAAGGUGGGGAUGACGUCAAGUCCUCAUGGCCCUUACAUCCUGGGCUACACACGUACUACAAUGCUACGGACAAAGGGCAGCAAGUUCGCGAGGAC
rnacentral:rRNA from 1 species